UACGGGGGGGGCAAGCGUUGUUCGGAAUUACUGGGCGUAAAGGGCUCGUAGGCGGCCAACUAAGUCAGACGUGAAAUCCCUCGGCUUAACCGGGGAACUGCAUCUGAUACUGGAUGGCUUGAGUUCGGGAGAGGGAUGCGGAAUUCCAGGUGUAGCGGUGAAAUGCGUAGAUAUCUGGAGGAACACCGGUGGCGAAGGCGGAUCUCUGGGCCGUAACUGACGCUGAGGAGCGAAAGCAUGGGUAGCGAACAGG
rnacentral:rRNA from 1 species